rnacentral:tRNA from 1 species
GCCCGGGUAGCUCAGUGGUAGAGCAGGGGAUUGAAAAUCCCCGUGUCGGUAGUUCAAUUCUACCCCCGGGCACCA